rnacentral:rRNA from 1 species
GAUGAACGCUGGCGGCGUGCCUAAUACAUGCAAGUCGAGCGAACAGACGAGGAGCUUGCUCCUCUGACGUUAGCGGCGGACGGGUGAGUAACACGUGGAUAACCUACCUAUAAGACUGGGAUAACUUCGGGAAACCGGAGCUAAUACCGGAUAAUAUAUUGAACCGCAUUGUUCAAUAGUGAAAGACGGUUUUGCUGUCACGUAUAGAUGGAUCCGCGCCUCAUUAGCUAGUUGGUAAGGUAACGGCUUACUAAGGCAACGAUGCGUAGACGACCUGAGAGGGGGAUCGGCGACACUGGAACUGAGACACGGACCAGACUCCUACGGGAGGCAGCAGUAGGGAAUCUUCCGCAAUGGGCGAAAGCUUGACGGAGCAACGCCGCGUGAGUGAUGACGGUCUUCGGAUCGUAAAACUCUGUUAUUAGGGAAGAACAAAUGUGUAAGUAACUAUGCACGUCUUGACGGUACCUAAUCAGAAAGCCACGGCUAACUACGUG